AAGCCUGGGAAACUGGGUCUAAUACCGGAUACGACCACGGGAUGCAUGUCCUGUGGUGGAAAGGUUUACUGGUGCAGGAUGAGCCCGCGGCCUAUCAGCUUGUUGGUGGGGUAAUGGCCUACCAAGGCGACGACGGGUAGCCGGCCUGAGAGGGCGACCGGCCACACUGGGACUGAGACACGGCCCAGACUCCUACGGGAGGCAGCAGUGGGGAAUAUUGCACAAUGGGCGAAAGCCUGAUGCAGCGACGCCGCGUGAGGGAUGACGGCCUUCGGGUUGUAAACCUCUUUCAGCAGGGACGAAGCGCAAGUGACUGUACCUGCAGAAGAAGCACCGGCUAACUACGUGCCAGCAGCCGCGGUA
rnacentral:rRNA from 1 species